rnacentral:rRNA from 1 species
UUAUAUUCUGUAGCAAGGUUAACCGUAUAGGGGAGCCGUAGGGAAACCGAGUCUUAACCGGGCGUUAAGUUGCAGGGUAUAGACCCGAAACCCGGUGAUCUAGCCAUGGGCAGGUUGAAGGUUGGGUAACACUAACUGGAGGACCGAACCGACUAAUGUUGAAAAAUUAGCGGAUGACCUGUGGCUGGGGGUGAAAGGCCAAUCAAACCGGGAGAUAGCUGGUUCUCCCCGAAAGCUAUUUAGGUAGCGCCUCGUGAAUUCAUCUCCGGGGGUAGAGCACUGUUUCGGCUAGGGGGCCAUCCCGGCUUACCAACCCGAUGCAAACUGCGAAUACCGGAGAAUGUUAUCACGGGAGACACACGGCGGGUGCUAACGUCCGUCGUGAAGAGGGAAACAACCCAGACCGCCAGCUAAGGUCCCAAAGUCAUGGUUAAGUGGGAAACGAUGUGGGAAGGCCCAGACAGCCAGGAUGUUGGCUUAGAAGCAGCCAUCAUUUAAAGAAAGCGUAAUAGCUCACUGGUCGAGUCGGCCUGCGCGGAAGAUGUAACGGGGCUAAACCAUGCACCGAAGCUGCGGCAGCGAACGUAUCACCCAAGACAACUUUACGGAGUUGACGAUUGACGGAGCGAAGCGACGUCAAAGCGUUCAUUAAAGUCGAGUUGGCUUAGGGAUACGUUCGUUGGGUAGGGGAGCGUUCUGUAAGCCUGUGAAGGUGUGUCGUGAGGCAUGCUGGAGGUAUCAGAAGUGCGAAUGCUGACAUAAGUAACGAUAAAGCGGGUGAAAAGCCCGCUCGCCGGAAGACCAAGGGUUCCUGUCCAACGUUAAUCGGGGCAGGGUGAGUCGACCCCUAAGGCGAGGCCGAAAGGCGUAGUCGAUGGGAAACGGGUUAAUAUUCCCGUACUUGGUGUUACUGCGAAGGGGGGACGGAGAAGGCUAUGUUGGCCGGGCGACGGUUGUCCCGGUUUAAGCGUGUAGGUGUGUGUUCCAGGUAAAUCCGGUUCACUUUAACACUGAGGCGUGACGACGAGGCACUACGGUGCUGAAGCAACAAAUGCCCUGCUUCCAGGAAAAGCCUCUAAGCAUCAGGUAACACGAAAUCGUACCCCAAACCGACACAGGUGGUCAGGUAGAGAAUACCAAGGCGCUUGAGAGAACUCGGGUGAAGGAACUAGGCAAAAUGGUGCCGUAACUUCGGGAGAAGGCACGCUGACACGUAGGUGAAGUGAUUUACUCAUGGAGCUGAAGUCAGUCGAAGAUACCAGCUGGCUGCAACUGUUUAUUAAAAACACAGCACUGUGCAAACACGAAAGUGGACGUAUACGGUGUGACGCCUGCCCGGUGCCGGAA